ACAUUGUAUGAAAGGAGAGAAGGUUAGCACUUCCCUUGACAAGGAUGGAAGAUGCCCUUGGGCCUGACAACACCCAUACGAUUUAAAAUUUUUU
ensembl:snRNA